rnacentral:rRNA from 1 species
ACCUCAUGCUCCUGGAGCGGCCGAUAUCUGAUUAGCUAGUUGGUAGGGUAAAAGCCUACCAAGGCAUCGAUCAGUAGCUGGUCUGAGAGGACGACCAGCCACACUGGAACUGAGACACGGUCCAGACUCCUACGGGAGGCAGCAGUGGGGAAUUUUGGACAAUGGGCGCAAGCUGAUCCAGCAAUGCCGCGUGAGUGAAGAAGGCCUUCGGGUUGUAAAGCUCUUUUGUCAGGGAAGAAACGGAUUUUUCUAAUACAGAGAUCUAAUGACGGUACCUGAAGAAUAAGCACCGGCUAACUACGUGCCAGACAGCCGCGGUAAUACGUAUGGUGCAAGCGUUAAUCGGAAUUACUGGGCGUAAAGCGUGCGCAGGCGGUUUUGUAAGACUGUCGUGAAAUCCCCGGGCUCAACCUGGGAAUGGCGAUGGUGACUGCAAUGCUAGAGUUUGGCAGAAGGGGGUAGAAUGCCACGUGUAGCCAGUGAAAUGCGUAGAUAUGUGGAGGAACACCGAUGGCGAAGGCAGCCCCCUGGGUCAAAACUGACGCUCAUGCACGAAAGCGUGGGGAGCAAACAGGAUUAGAUACCCUGGUAGUCCACGCCCUAAACGAUGUCUACUAGUAGUCGGGUUUUAAUUAACUUGGUAACGCAGCUAACGCGUGAAGUAGACCGCCUGGGGAGUACGG